AUGGCCGCACUCUGCCUCACGGCUCCGGCGAUCGCGAGGUGGUCCCCGCCACCGUCCCCCCGGCGGUGGCAGCACCCCCUGUGCCAGGACUGCGCCAGGCGUCGCAGGGGCCUUGCGCGGCGGCGGGCCAGUGGAGACGACGGGCCGGAGGAGGCGGAGGCACCGCCGGUGAGGACCCUCCUGGUUGACAACUACGACAGCUACACCUACAACCUCUUCCAGGAGCUCUCGGUCGUCAAUGGAGUGCCGCCUGUGGUGGUGCGCAACGACGAGUGGGCAUGGGGGGACGUGUACUACUGGGUGUACAAGAAGAGGGCCUUUGACAACAUCGUGAUCUCGCCUGGCCCUGGAUCUCCGGCGUGUCCUGGCGACAUAGGUCUGUGUCUCCGGAUAGUUUCUGAGUGCGGAGAUAUACCCAUCCUGGGUGUCUGCCUUGGCCACCAGGCAUUGGGGUUAGUACAUGGCGCUAAAAUUGUUCACGCUCCUGAAGCUAUACAUGGACGACUUAGUGAAAUUGAACAUAAUGGAAGCUACCUCUUUAAUCAUAUCCCGUCGGGUAUAAACUCUGGAUUCAAGGUAGUGCGCUACCAUUCACUUGUAAUAGAAGCAACCUCACUGCCUGAGGAUCUUGUGUCAAUAGCAUGGUGUGCCUCUCCCAAAAUGCUAUCUUUUGUAGAUAGCGAUCAGGGUGAUAAUUGUCCCUUAUUGGGAUCAUUAAAUAACUUUUCCAUUACACACCCUUCGGAAGUAACUAACAAUAGAGAAGUGCCGAUUACCAUACACAAUCCUGGUAAACCAGAUGGCUACAAGAUAAUCAUGGGUAUCAAGCAUUCUAGCAGGCCUCAUUAUGGAGUGCAGUUUCAUCCAGAGAGUAUUGCUACUCGUUAUGGAAGACAUAUUUUUCAGAACUUCAAGAGGAUAACAACCGAAUAUGGAUCACCGUCAUCUUCGUUUCUGGAAAGAAAGGCUCACAGUGCUGAUCAAUGCAAUUAUGUCCCGAAGGGCUUGUUGCACACUGAAAGACUGGAGCUUCGCGAUUCUGUUGAGGCUCGCAUGCUUCCAGAGAGAAGCAGCGAGAAAAAAUAUUUACGUUUGAGAUGGAAGAGGAUUGAUAACUUCCUCAGCCGCACAGGUGGAUCUGAAGAUAUUUUUUCAUUGCUUUUUGGUCAUGAAAACGCUGAUGAUACAUUUUGGCUGGACAGCUCAUCAGUCGACCAGAAUAGGGCACGUUUUUCAUUCAUGGGUGGUAAGGGCGGACCUCUGUGGAAGCAAAUGACAUUUCACCUCUCCAAUCAAAGUUCUGAAGGGAACAUUACUAUUCGACGUGCUGACGGAUCUGCUGUGAAAAACACUCUCAAAGAUGGCUUCUUGGAAUUUCUUCACAAGGAAAUUCAGUCCAUUCAAAACAAUGAAGAGGAUUUUCAAGGGCUUCCAUUUGAAUUCCACGGUGGCUUUGUUGGAUAUCUAGGGUAUGGUCUUAAAGUUGAAUGUGAUGCAUCAUCUAACAAAGCUAAAUCAAGUACUCCUGAUGCAUGCUUCUUCUUUGCUGAUAACCUUGUGGUGAUCGAUCACAACAAUGGUGAUGUAUAUAUUCUAUCAUUAUAUGAUGAGUAUUCUUCAAAUAAUGGGAAUGGAAUUUAUGGUAAUGCAACACAUACUUCAUGGUUACUGGAGACUGAGAAGAGGCUUCUCAGGAUGGUUGCUAUGGCGCCCACACUACCGAUUAAUAGAAAUUCGCUGGUCGGAUCAAGAGAUGUGAAUAAGCAUAGUUUUGUUGUAGAAAAAUCAAAGGAUCAAUACAUUAAGGAUGUUCAGAGUUGCCUGGAUUUUAUCAGAGACGGAGAAAGUUAUGAGUUGUGCCUGACUACUCGUAUGAGGAGAAGGAUAGAAAAUAUAAAUGCCCUGCAACUAUACCUUAAAUUGAGAAAGCAAAAUCCUGCCCCCUAUGCAGCCUGGUUUAACUUCUCCUCAGUCAACCUGAGUAUAUGUUGCUCUUCUCCUGAACGGUUUCUGAGAGGCAAAACCAAUCAAAGGUACUAUAGCACGUGGCAGAACACCCGAGGAAGAUGA
rnacentral:rRNA from 1 species